UACGUAGGUGGCAAGCGUUGUCUGGAUUUACUGGGCGUAAAGAGCGCGCAGGCGGUCGGAUCAGUCGAAUGUGAAAGCCCCCGGCUCAACUGGGGAGGGUCAUUCGAUACUGUCCGACUCGAAGGCAGGAGAGGGAAGCGGAAUUCCCGGUGUAGUGGUGAAAUGCGUAGAUAUCGGGAGGAACACCAGUGGCGAAGGCGGCUUUCUGGCCUGUUCUUGACGCUGAGGCGCGAAAGCUAGGGGAGCAAACGGG
rnacentral:rRNA from 1 species